UACGUAGGAAGCGAGCGUUGUCCGGAUUUAUUGGGCGUAAAGAGCGUGUAGGCGGCCAGAUAAGUCCGCUGUGAAAUCUCGAGGCUCAACUUCGAGCUGUCGGUGGAAACUAUCUGGCUAGAGUCCGGAAGAGGCGAGUGGAAUUCCCGGUGUAGCGGUGAAAUGCGCAGAUAUCGGGAGGAACACCAAUGGCGAAGGCAGCUCGCUGGGACGGUACUGACGCUGAGGCGCGAAAGCUGGGGGGAGCAAACGGG
rnacentral:rRNA from 1 species